rnacentral:rRNA from 1 species
ACUGCUCAGUAACACGUGGAUAACCUGCCCUUGGGUCCGGCAUAACCCCGGGAAACUGGGGAUAAUUCCGGAUAACGCACAUAUGCUGGAAUGCUUUAUGCGUAAAAUGGAUUCGUCUGCCCAAGGAUGGGUCUGCGGCCUAUCAGGUAGUAGUGGGUGUAAUGUACCUACUAGCCAACAACGGGUACGGGUUGUGAGAGCAAGAGCCCGGAGAUGGAUUCUGAGACAUGAAUCCAGGCCCUACGGGGCGCAGCAGGCGCGAAAACUUUACAAUGCGGGAAACCGUGAUAAGGGGACACCGAGUGCCAGCAUCAUAUGCUGGCUGUCCAGGUGUGUAAAAUACACCUGUUAGCAAGGGCCGGGCAAGACCGGUGCCAGCCGCCGCGGUAACACCGGCGGCCCGAGUGGUGAUCGUGAUUAUUGGGUCUAAAGGGUCCGUAGCCGGUUUGGUCAGUCCUCCGGGAAAUCUGACGGCUUAACCGUUAGGCUUUCGGGGGACACUGCCAGGCUUGGAACCGGGAGAGGUAAGAGGUACUACAGGGGUAGGAGUGAAAUCUUGUAAUCCCUGUGAGACCACCUGUGGCGAAGGCGUCUUACCAGAACGGGUUCGACGGUGAGGGACGAAAGCUGGGGGCACGAACCGGAUUAGAUACCCGGGUAGUCCCAGCCGUAAACGAUGCUCGCUAGGUGUCAGGCAUGGCGCGACCGUGUCUGGUGCCGCAGGGAAGCCGUGAAGCGAGCCACCUGGAAGUACGGCCGCAAGGCUGAAACUUAAAGGAAUUGGCGGGGGAGCAC